rnacentral:rRNA from 1 species
CAAUAGCGUAUAUUAAAGUUGUUGCAGUUAAAGAGCUCGUAGUUGGAUUUCGGGGCAGCCUGGCUGGUCCGCCGCAAGGCGAGUACUGGUCAGCCGCCCUUCCUCUCGAAAGCCCCGACUGCUCUUCGUUGCAGUGGUCGGGUAGUUCGGGACGUUUACUUUGAAAAAAUUAGAGUGUUCAAGGCAGGCCUACGCCUGAAUACAUUAGCAUGGAAUAAUGGAAGAGGACCUCGGUCCUAUUUUGUUGGUUUCCAGGGCCGAAGUAAUGAUUAAGAGGGACAGUUGGGGGCAUUCGUAUUUAAUUGUCAGAGGUGAAAUUCUCGGAUUUAUGAAAGACGAACAACUGCGAAAGCAUUUGCCAAGGAUGUUUUCAUUAA